rnacentral:rRNA from 1 species
CGGGCGUGCCUAACACAUGCAAGUCGAACGGAGUAUAUGCGCAGAUGAUCGAAGUGCUUGCAUAGAGAGAAUCAUGUGUAUACUUAGUGGCGGACGGGUGGAGUAACGUGUGGAUAACCUGGUCCAUCCAGGGGGAUAGCAGCGGGAAACUGCUGAUAAUACCGCAUAAGCGCACAGUAAGGCAUCUUACAGUGUGAAAGAAAAAUCGGGAUGGAAUGGAUCCGCAUCUGAUUAGCCAGUUGGCGGGAUAGAAGCCCACCAAAGCGACGAUCAGUAGCCGGCCUGAGAGGGCGGACGGCCACAUUGGGACUGAGACACGGCCCAGACUCCUACGGGAGGCAGCAGUGGGGGAUAUUGCACAAUGGGGGGAACCCUGAUGCAGCCGACGCCGCGUGGGUGAAGAAGUAUUUCGGUAUGUAAAGCCCUAUCAGCAGGGAAGAUGAUGACGGUACCUGAGUAAGAAGCCCCGGCUAACUACGUGCCAGCAGCUGC